UACGUAGGGUGCAAGCGUUGUCCGGAAUUAUUGGGCGUAAAGAGCUCGUAGGCGGUCUGUCGCGUCGGAUGUGAAAACUCGGGGCUCAACCCCGGGCCUGCAUUCGAUACGGGCAGACUAGAGUACGGCAGGGGAGACUGGAAUUCCUGGUGUAGCGGUGGAAUGCGCAGAUAUCAGGAGGAACACCGGUGGCGAAGGCGGGUCUCUGGGCAGUAACUGACGCUGAGGAGCGAAAGCGUGGGGGAGCGAACAGG
rnacentral:rRNA from 1 species